rnacentral:rRNA from 1 species
GACGAACGCUGGCGGCGUGCUUAACACAUGCAAGUCGCACGAAGUGGCGAACGUGUGAGUAACGCGUAAUCAACCUGCCCUUCAGAGGGGGACAACCGUUGGAAACGACUGCUACUACCGCAUACUGAAGGCGGGGAUUGCGUCUGAUUAGCUAGUUGGAGGGGUAAGGUCCCACCAAGGCGAUGAGCAGUAGCCGGUCUGAGAGGAGGAACGGCCACAUUGGGACUGAGACACGGCCCAGACUCCGACGGGAGGCAGCAGUGGGGAAUCGUCCGCAAUGGACGAAAGUCUGACGGAGCAACGCCGCGUGAGUGAUGACGGCCUUCGGGUUGUAAAGCUCUGUUAAUCGGGACGCGGUACCGGAAUAGAAAGCCACGGCUAACUACGUGCCAGCAGCCGCGGUAAUUC